rnacentral:rRNA from 1 species
UUUAAGGUCUAAUCUGCCCUAUGAGGGGUUAAAUGGCCGCGGUAUUUUGACCGUGCAAAGGUAGCAUAAUAAUUAGUUUUUUAAUUGAAAGCUGGUAUGAAUGAUUGGACGAGAAAAUUUCUGUCUCAAUUUAGUUUAAUUAGAAUUUUAUUUUUAAGUAAAAAAGCUUAAAUUUUAUUAAUAGACGAGAAGACCCUAUAGAGUUUUAUAUAAGUUUAUUUAUACAUAGUAGAGAAUUUUUUUUUUAUAUAUUUAAAUUUAUAUUUUGUUGGGGUGAUUGAAAAAUAGGAUAAACUUUUUUUUUGAUAAAAAUUCAUUAAUUUAUGUUUAAUUGAUCCAUUAUUUAUGAUUAAAAGAUUAAAUUACCUUAGGGAUAACAGCGUAAUCUUUUUUUAGAGUUCUUAUCGAAAGAAAGGAUUGCGACCUCGAUGUUGGAUUAAAAUAAAUUAUUGGUGUAGUAGCUAAUUAAUUAGGUCUGUUCGACCUUUAAAAUUUUACA